ACAUUGGAGCCCGACUAAAUCCGGAUUCGCGCCGGGAAGUCCCACAUUGGGGGGGCAUGACAGUGAACCAUUUACUUUUCCCGAUGCUGAGGAUGAUGACAGAUCUGAUGAUUACUUGUUUUGUAGUCCAGGAUUUUCUUCACAUUUCCUGCGCUGGUCCUUAUCAUUGGAAGCAUCAGAAGGUGAAAAGUAAGCUUCCAUAGGAAUACCAGAAGGAAUUGUAACUUUUCCAAUCCUCCUCUCUCCAGUCAUGGGAGAAAUCUACAGCAGUUUAAAGUUUCUUUGGUGUUUAAUAUCUCAUGAAAAUUCUCAGUCUUAGAGGAGCCUUGAUAUGAAGAUGGAUCACCAGUAAAAUCUUAGAAAACAAAGAGUGGAGAAGCAGAAUCUGAAAUUGCUUUCACCAAAGCUUUCGACAUUGAUCUAUCACAUGGCUUUGCUCCUUUAAAGAAUCCCAUGUUAGUACUAUUUCCAGAAAAUAGAACACUAUGUAACAGGUUACUUCCAGAAGAUUGUCAUUAUCAACCUAAAAUCUUGUGAAGCUGUUUCUUUGAGCCAAUGUCACGUGCCUUGGAAGGAGAGGAAAGCAAAACCCAGGUUAGAUAACUUUUAUGGCCAUCCGCCCCAAGAGGGAAGCAGUAGCAAAUAGAAG